AGGUCAACUCCUUGCCGGCUAGUGUUUGAGUAUGCACCAGACUUCAUUGUUUCUUUAUCUCCAAUAGCCACUCUAAUCCCCCUUUGGCUGUCACCCAAGGGAUGAACCGACCCUCCUUUAUACAAGGCAAGAGAUACACCACUCCAUCGCCUCCGAUUACAACAAAGAUUUACACAAGCCUCACAACCCUAGAGAAACGUGUUAUUGCUCUACUUGCUCCCUACCCGGUGUAGUUAGGAGGGCACGAGGUACUACCAGUAGCCUUCCUCUUGUGCCGUCCCUCUAUACCCUAACACCGAAUAGUUGGGUCAAAUAGUGCCGGGUACUACCAGUAGCCUUUCCGUUGGCACCAUCCCUAUGAUGAGCAAUCUAGAGCACAAUCCGUCCUCUUUACAAAAAAAUAUGCUCACUCCUCUUUUGCAAAAGUAAGAAUAUAUUGAGAAUUUUAUUAUAAGCAAGAUAAGCUUCUAAUGUAUCCACCCACACUCUUAAUCAAAUAAGAUAUGUGCAAUAAGCAAUAAGUAGUGAACCUCACUUUCUAGAGUGUGCAAUAAGUAAAGCUUCUUAACCCAACCCAAAUCUGAAAUUUUCUUGGGUUUAAAGGCAUUACCUCUUU
rnacentral:lncRNA from 1 species